AAGAAAUAUUAAACCCAAAAACACGAACAUUAUUCGUAACUUCCCAAUGGACCGUCAACUUCCUUUUCUCUUUCUGCUUUUUCUCUGUUUACUUUCUAUUUUCCCUGAUCUCUCUGGUUCUACACCUCUUCGAGUCUCCGGUGGGCAUGGCGAUAGAAAAACAAAAUUGUCGGUGCUGAAAUUGGUGACUGGUAGAUCGUCUGCUACAAUUGAUCCGACUCGGGUGACGCAAAUCUCCUGGCGGCCGAGGGCUUUCAUUUAUAGGAAUUUUUUGACCGAUGAGGAAUGUGAUCAUCUCAUUACUCUGGCUAAAGAUAAGCUGGAGAAGUCUAUGGUGGCUGAUAAUGAGUCAGGAAAGAGCGUAGAGAGUGAAGUUCGGACAAGCUCUGGCAUG
rnacentral:misc_RNA from 1 species